GCCGCCAGCCAUAGUUCCGCUAUUCCUGUCGGUUUGUUUUGACUGUUUUCUGAGGAGCUGUUCUCCUCUGCUGACCUGCUGAAGAAGACCUGCCGCUGAACCAGCCUCCAGGCGGCUUUCCUGCUUCGGUAAACAGAAUCACCAGGAGAAGCAUGGCGUCCGACUCGCCCCGCAGACCCAGCCGCUGUGCAGGAGGGGUUUUGGUGCGAGCGCAGGCCGCCACGGAGCAGUCAUACAUGGAGAGCGUGGUGACCUUCCUGCAGGAUGUGGUCCCUCAGGCCUAUACCGGGGCUCCGCCUACGGAUGAGAAGGAAAAGAUCAUCUGGGUUCGCUUUGAGAGAGCUGACAUCAAUGGUGAAUGUUGACCCGAAUG